CCUACGGGGGGCUGCAGUGGGGAAUAUUGGACAAUGGGGGGAACCCUGAUCCAGCCAUGCCGCGUGUGUGAAGAAGGCCCUCGGGUUGUAAAGCACUUUCAGUGAGGAAGAACGCCUGGUGGUUAAUACCCAUCAGGAAAGACAUCACUCACAGAAGAAGCACCGGCUAACUCCGUGCCAGCAGCCGCGGUAAUACGGAGGGUGCGAGCGUUAAUCGGAAUUACUGGGCGUAAAGCGCGCGUAGGUGGCUUGAUAAGCCGGUUGUGAAAGCCCCGGGCUCAACCUGGGAACGGCAUCCGGAACUGUUAAGCUAGAGUGCAGGAGAGGAAGGUAGAAUUCCCGGUGUAGCGGUGAAAUGCGUAGAGAUCGGGAGGAAUACCAGUGGCGAAGGCGGCCUUCUGGACUGACACUGACACUGAGGUGCGAAAGCGUGGGUAGCAAACAGGAUUAGAUACCCUAGUAGUC
rnacentral:rRNA from 1 species